rnacentral:rRNA from 1 species
UACGGGGGGGGCAAGCGUUGUUCGGAAUUACUGGGCGUAAAGGGCUCGUAGGUGGCCAACUAAGUCAGACGUGAAAUCCCUCAGCUUAACUGGGGAACUGCGUCUGAUACUGGAUGGCUUGGAUUUGGGAGAGGGAUGCGGAAUUCCAGGUGUAGCGGUGAAAUGCGUAGAUAUCUGGAGGAACACCGGUGGCGAAGGCGGCAUCCUGGACCAAUAUUGACGCUGAGGAGCGAAAGCCAGGGGAGCAAACGGG